CUUUAUUAGUGAGAUUAUGCAUUCUCCUCACUUUCACCCUCUUCGUCUUCACUUUCAGCAUGGCUCGAGAAUUCAAGAAAAUCCAACCUCCUAUCGAGAUCUGCUUCCCCCCUCCCUGCCAUAUUCCUUCUUCACCCAAACCUUGAAUGUGAUGGGAAACUGAGAGAUUAAUGUCAGAGUUAUUACCUUAUAAGAUGCAGUAAAUAAUUGUUAAGAGCUCGUGUCCAUGACUUCUUAAGGCUUGAUUACUCUCCCAUGUAUCUAAAACAAAGACUGCUUCCUCUUUAAUAAAUUCAUUUACCUUUUAUAAUUCAA